rnacentral:lncRNA from 1 species
UCAUCAUCAUGAAGUCCUGAAUCAUCAGUCUCAUCAUCAUGCAGUCCCCUGAUCAUCAUCCAUUUAAGUCCUGAUCAUCAUCAUCAUCAUCAUGAGUCCUGAUCAUCAUCAUCGAGUCCUGAUCAUCAUCAUCAUCAUGAGUCCUGAUCAUUAUCAUCAUCAUCAUCAUCGAGUCCUGAUCAUCAUCAUCAUCAUGAGUCCUGAUCAUCAUCAUGAGUCCUCAUCCUCAU